rnacentral:lncRNA from 10 species
CCUGUUUUCCUCACUCUCUCAAGGUGAGUGAGGUCUAUGGGGGUAAGCCCCCCCGCCUCCCCGUAGACCUCCUGGAAUGCCUGGAACAGCUCAGCAACCUGGGCACAGGUGGCUUGAGACAACCUAGCCAUUCGGGCCUGCUGCCAGAGUGAACGCCACAGGGAGGCCUGCCGGGUCUGGGGAGCAUGAGCUGGUCAGGCCCCCAGUAGACCCCUUGCAGGCUGAUCUCCAUCUCCAUGCAGAGUCUGUAUCCUAGAAAUCCAACCUGAGAUCCUGCGGCACCGAGAAAGGGAAGCUGUUUCAAGAGAUAGGAAUUGUCAGAAAAAGCCGGAGAAGGUGGUGUUAAAGGAAAACAUUGAGAAUGGGGAGUGAAGACGAGGGUUUUUCGUAGCAGAAGAUGGAUCUUCGAAAGCCAGGAGGCAGAGGAGAGCAACGCUGUCGGUGAGAUAAAGGUGGAGAUUUCUGCUACGUGCAGCACAUACUGCUAAUCCUCUCUCAUCUCCAGGAAGUUUUCA